UACGAGGGGGGCAAAUGUUGUUCGGAAUCGCUGGGCGUAAAGGGAGCGUAGGCGGGUUUCUAAGUCAGGUGUUUAAUCCCGGGGCCCAACCCCGGACAGGCACUUGAAACUGGGAAUCUUGAAUAGUGGAGAGGUCAGUGGAAUUGGGGGUGUAGCGGUGGAAUGCGUAGAGAUCCCCAAGAACACCAGUUGCGAAGGCGGCUGACUGGACACAUAUUGACGCUGAGGCUCGAAAGCAUGGGGAGCAAACAGG
rnacentral:rRNA from 1 species